AUUUAGCUGACGAGUUCCAAGUAGGACGAAAUGCGCAUCCUGGAU
rnacentral:hammerhead_ribozyme from 1 species